rnacentral:lncRNA from 1 species
AACAUCCCAAUCAUUCAGAUUCUUAUUAGUUUGGCAGGCCCACGGUACAUUGAAAACUUGGGUCGCCCGUUGAGCCGUGAUAUAGACAUAGGGAGAAUCUAAAUGGGUGCUUUGUUCAAUUUCGACUAGCCCUAUAUGUUCACGAGUCCUUGUAGUCUCCUUUGGCUGGAACCAAUAACAUUUGAAGACUACAACGUUCGGUGGGUUUUCACCAUACAAUUGAAGUUCAUAAAUUUCUUCAACUCUUCCAUAAUACUGGGUACCUCCUUCGCCGAUAGCAGAG